UCGGUCACUAACUCUCAGGGCUCAGUUGCCUGAGGACAUCAGUGCGAUGGGACUGUUUUUUGAAGAAAGAGAUGGAGAAAUAUCUCUUCCCUUGGGAAUUCCUUACUGAUGGUUGGCUGAGCUCCAGUCCCACUACCUGGGCAGUUAAUGCUGCCCUCGCAUUCAUAUGGGGGCUGGGGCUCUUCUUCCUUUUACUCUCCUAUUUCCAGCCUGAUCCAUCCUCACCACCAGGCAAGAAACACAGGAAGAGCAGGAAGUGCCAAGCAGAGCCACGGAGGAGCAACGGAAGGAAGAAAAACCAGACUGUGAAAGUUUUCAGAGAUUGCCUACAAGAUCUGGAAGAGGUUCAGGACCUAUUCUCCCUUCU